AUGGCGAGCUCGCCGCGAUCCCCGCAGCCGGCGGAGCUGGAGAUCUCGCGGCAGUCCCGUAUCCUCGCGGCGUUGUCUAAGAAGGUGAUAGAUCUCGAUGAGCUCCGGAUGCUCGCUGCGCAGGGCGUCCCCGACGGCGCCGGCGUCCGGUCUACUGUGUGGAAGCUGCUACUGGGCUAUCUGCCCAAGGAUCGUGCACUGUGGGAGCAGGAGUUGGCAAAAAAGAGGUCACAAUAUGAAGCCUUCAAAGACGAAUUCCUUCCCAACACUGUAGGUGGAAGUAGCACGCCUGGGGGAUCAGAAGGCCACAGUGACGGAAAUGCAGAGCAUGUUGAGAAUGGGUUUCUUGACAGGUCGGAGAUAGCCCAAGAUGAUCAUCCUUUGAGCCUUGGGAAGACCAGCCAAUGGAAUCAGGUCGCUGAGCAUUCGGAGAUGAUCGAGCAGGUUGACCGUGAUGUAAAACGCACUCACCCUGACAUACAUUUCUUCUGUGGAGACUCUUCUUUUGCAAAGUCCAAUCAGGAUUCUCUGAGAAAUAUAUUAAUUAUCUUUGCCAAGCUGAAUGCUGGGAUAAGAUACGUGCAAGGAAUGAAUGAAAUUUUGGCGCCUCUCUUCUUUGUAUUUCGGAAUGAUCCAGAUUAUAAAAAUGCUAACUUCGCCGAAGCCGAUUCUUUCUUUUGCUUCGUGGAGUUACUUAGUGGGCUUAGAGACAACUUCUGCCAGAAGCUAGACAACAGUGCUGUCGGCAUUCGAGGGACGCUCUCCAAACUAUCACAACUGCUAAAGAAGUAUGAUGGAGAACUUCAGCACCACUUGGAAAUAACUACGGAAGUUAAUCCCCAGUUCUAUGCGUUCAGGUGGAUAACACUGCUGUUAACCCAGGAAUUCAACUUUGCCGAUAUUAUUCAUAUAUGGGACACUCUGUUAAGUGACCCAGAUGGUCCUCAGGAAACCUUGCUGAGAAUAUGCUGCGCAAUGCUGAUCCUGGUCCGGAAACGGCUCCUUGCCGGCGAUUUCAGCUCCAACCUGAAGCUUCUGCAGAGCUACCCUCCGACGAACAUCGGCCACCUCCUCUACGUUGCAAACAAGUUGCAGUGA
rnacentral:rRNA from 1 species